GACGAACCACACGAACGUUAUUCGGAAUUACUGGGCUUAAAGGGUGCGUAGGCGGUCGGGUAAGUCUGAUGUGAAAUCUCACAGCUUAACUGUGAAACUGCAUUGGAUACUAUCCGGCUCGAGGAAUGGAGGGGAGACUGGAAUACUUGGUGUAGCAGUGAAAUGCGUAGAUAUCAAGUGGAACACCAGUGGCGAAGGCGAGUCUCUGGACAUUUCCUGACGCUGAGGCACGAAAGCCAGGGGAGCAAACGGG
rnacentral:rRNA from 1 species